UACGUAGGGUGCAAGCGUUGUCCGGAAUUAUUGGGCGUAAAGAGCGUGUAGGCGGUUCGAUCAGUCUGCUGUGAAAGUCCAGGGCUCAACCCUGGGAUGCCGGUGGAUACUGUCGAGCUAGAGUCCGGAAGGGGCGAGUGGAAUUCCUGGUGUAGCGGUGAAAUGCGCAGAUAUCAGGAGGAACACCGAUGGCGAAGGCAGCUCGCUGGGACGGUACUGACGCUGAGACGCGAAAGCGUGGGGAGCAAACAGG
rnacentral:rRNA from 1 species